rnacentral:rRNA from 1 species
UACGUAGGUGACAAGCGUUGUCCGGAUUUACUGGGCGUAAAGAGCGCGCAGGCGGUCGUUCAAGUCGAGUGUGAAAGCCCCCGGCUCAACUGGGGAGGGUCACUCGAUACUGAUCGACUCGAAGGCAGGAGAGGGUAGUGGAAUUCCCGGUGUAGUGGUGAAAUGCGUAGAUAUCGGGAGGAACACCAGUGGCGAAGGCGGCUACCUGGCCUGUUCUUGACGCUGAGGCGCGAAAGCUAGGGGAGCAAACGGGG